UCUCCGUAGGUGAACCUGCGGAGGGAUCAUUACUGAGUGAGGGCUUCGGUCCGACCUCCAACCCUUUGUGUGAACCAAACUUGUUGCUUCGGGGGCGACCCUGCCUUUCGGCGCGGCGCCCCCGGAGGCUCAUCAAACACUGCAUCUUUGCGUCGGAGUUAAAGUAAAUUAAACAAAACUUUCAACAACGGAUCUCUUGGUUCCAGCAUCGAUGAAGAACGCAGC
rnacentral:misc_RNA from 1 species